rnacentral:lncRNA from 1 species
UUUUUUCUUUCAAUUAGUCUCUCAAUAUUUUAUUUCAUUUGUUUUUUUUAUCUAGUUUUGGUCCUUGUUCUUUUAAUUUGUUUUUUCUUUUAAUUUUUUCUUCAACAUUUUAUUUUAUCUGUUUUUUUAUCCAAUUCCAUUCCACAUUCUUUUAAUUGUUUUUUUCUUAUCUUUUAUUUUAUUUUAUUUUUGGAUUAAGUCCCUCAUUAUUUUCUUUCAUUAGUUUUUAUAUUAUCUUAUUAUUUCGAUUACUAUUUGUUUUCUUUUUAAUUUUUUAAUGGCUAAGAAUUUUAUUUAUGAUUUUUUUAUCUUUUAUAAUUAUCUCGGUCUCAUGACUAGAAUUGCUAGUUUCGAAGAUUAUCUCGAUUUAACUUAAUUUUUUU